rnacentral:rRNA from 1 species
CAGCAGCCGCGGUAAUACGAAGGGGGCUAGCGUUGCUCGGAAUGACUGGGCGUAAAGGGCGCGUAGGCGGUUUGUCGAGUUAGAUGUGAAAUUCCCGGGCUUAACCUGGGGACUGCAUUUGAUACUGGCAGGCUUGAGUGUGGAAGAGGGUCGUAGAAUUCCCAGUGUAGAGGUGAAAUUCGUAGAUAUUAGGAAGAACACCGGUGGCGAAGGCGGCGACCUGGUCCAUAACUGACGCUGAGGCGCGAAAGCGUGGGGAGCAAACAGGAUUAGAUACCCGCGUAGUCCCUGUCUCUUAUAC